CCUACGGGAGGCAGCAGUGGGGAAUAUUGCGCAAUGGGCGAAAGCCUGACGCAGCGACGCCGCGUGUGUGAUGAAGGUCUUCGGAUCGUAAACCUCUGUCAGCAGGGAAGAACGGUCACUGGUCUAAUCAUCAGUGAAUUGACGGUACCUGCAAAGGAAGCACCGGCUAACUCCGUGCCAGCAGCCGCGGUAAUACGGAGGGUGCGAGCGUUAAUCGGAAUUACUGGGCGUAAAGCGCUCGUAGGCGGUAUGUCAAGUCAAGUGUUAAAUCCCCGCGCUCAACGUGGGAACUGCCUUUGAAAAGGGCAAACCGGAGUGUGUGAAAGGAUAGUGGAAAUCCAGGUUGAGGAGGUGAAUCGG
rnacentral:rRNA from 1 species